UGUGCGUUGGCGUUAUGCCUUCGCACUAUUAUUUUGUUAGGAUGUAUUUUUUUGUGUGUGAACUUUUUGCACGUAAUCUUUUUUUAUACCCAUAGCUAGCGUUUGUUUGUGUAGCUGUGUUCCGGGAGAUGGGCGCCGGGGGACAUGGGCUGGGGGGAGCGCACGUGACCUCCUCUGUCCGUGACCUCUUCAGCUGGGGAGACCGCGUGUUGCCCCGGCUGGAGAGACACGUCGAUGGAGGUGGUAGCGUGUGUCGUCCCUUGCCUGUAUCCUCUGGCGUCCAGAGGCGCGUAAGUGGAGAGCAUCGGCGCAGCGCGGGAGCAGCACGUCAGGGUGUAGGGUGUUUGUUUAGCUGGUGUAGGGUGUUAGGGUGUUAGGUGUAACAACGGUUGGCUCUUUCACAGAACGGGUGUGAUUCCGUUCUGCGUUUGAGUCUUCCACCUUCAGACGGUCUCCCUCUGAGAUGUCUGAAGUUUUUUUUGUCGGUUUUCUCCGUAGGAGGAAGCCGGCUCUAGCUACUCUGGUCUCUCUUCCGGGGGCCAGAGCGGUCGGGCUCUGCUUGGCCAGGCGUUGCCUUUCGCGUUGUCUCCGCCGAAGUUUUGCCAGACUCUUCCGUAAGGUUGAGCCUGGCUUUUUUAUUAGGUGGAUCAGGCUGCCUUCUUCCAAGGAGUCUGAUGGGAGUGGAGUCUUUUUUUUGGUGUAUGUCUGUGGGUGCUCAGUGGGUAAGGGCGGGUGGGGUAGAAUGGUUGGUGGGCUGGAAGUGGGUUGGGGGAUGAACCUCCUGGGAUUUGGGUUGUGUCGAGCCUUACCGCCUGGUGUGUUGGGUACACCUUCACGCCAGGGGGGGGGUGCCAAGACCAUAUCCAUUUCCUGGUGCAGGGCGAUUCCCCUUUCCCAUGCUAACUGGCCCUCCUCCGUCUGCCUCCCCAAACCCCCGCUGAGUGCUUGUGUGUGUUAUUUUUAUUUAGGAUGUCUAUGCCUUUUUCCCGUGUGUUUAUACCCAAUAGCUAGCGUGUGUGUGUGUGGCAGUCCGGAGGCGCGAGGCAGCGAGGACAUCACAUCACGUCACUACGGUAUAUCCACGGUAUUUGGUUUAGUGUGUGCUGUGUGUGUUUGUGUGUGUGAUGGCAGGCCUGCCGUGUGUUUGACCUUUUGCUGUGUGUUGCUGUGUGACUGCUAGGAUUUCAUUUCUAUGCAUGUUUUUUUUCCCCAUAACCCCCUUCCUCCCUAGCUCUUUAGCUGUUGUCCCUGGCGAGGCGCUGGGUGGAUGCUGCCGGGCGAUCAACGGCGGUGGCGGUGUGCAACGCGGGAGCAGCUGAGGUUUGGGUAGCACUACGGUGCAGGUUAUGUAGGGUGUGUGAGUUUUUUUUUUGUGUGAGUGUCUUUUUUUUGUGUGGGGUGUUGGCGGGGGACUUAGCUAAUCACUGUGUCAGGAAGGCAUAGGCGUGGCUGUCUGUCCAUCAGGCCGACGGGCGGGUGUGCCACCUGGCAGUCAGGCUAGCAGGUGACAGGCAAGCUAUCUGGUGGUCAGGCUGUCAGUCGGGCCAUCAGAUAGGUAGGCAGGCCACCUUGCGGUCAGGUUGUCGGGCGGGCACGCCACCCUCGGUCAGGUAGGCAGGCAGCAGCGUCUACGCUGAGCCGUAC